rnacentral:lncRNA from 1 species
GGAGAAUCUCCCGUUCAGAAACAUCGCUUAGUCCUCAUUUACUCACUGGGAACCUCGGAGGAUUUCAGCUGAUGUUUUUCUCUCCUUAGACAGUGAGGAGCUCAACAUAACAGGGAAAAGGAGCACAGGAUGCAGCUACUUCGAGGGUGUUGAUUGAAAACUUCGAUCUCCCCACCCCAUCAUUGAUGGUUGAUUUGACGGAUUUCUCACCUCUUUCACAGAGAAAAUUUCAAUUAAGGCACAUGGAGACGGACCUCUACCUGCAAUGCCCCCCUUGCACUUGGACAGAACCAUGUGACUAUUUAUAAGCUAUGACACAUGAGCAGACAUGACAUGACGGGAUUGAUGGAGCAAUGACCUCAUCUUUUCUCCUGCCAAAUAUUAUGAAAGAGGACUCAAGUCACUCACCUAAGGGACACUGGGUGAAAGUCAGUAAUGAAGCUGAAAGGUCGCUAAAUGCUG